CCUACGGGACGCAGCAGUGGGGAAUAUUGCACAAUGGGGGGAACCCUGAUGCAGCGACGCCGCGUGGGUGAAGAAGCGCCUCGGCGCGUAAAGCCCUGUCAGCAGGGAAGAAAAUGACGGUACCUGAAGAAGAAGCCCCGGCUAACUACGUGCCAGCAGCCGCGGUAAUACGUAGGGGGCAAGCGUUAUCCGGAUUUACUGGGUGUAGAGGGAGCGUAGACGGCAGGGCAAGUCUGAUGUGAAAGCACGGGGCUCAACCCCGGGACUGCAUUGGAAACUGUCAGGCUAGAGUGCAGGAGAGGUGG
rnacentral:rRNA from 1 species